UUAAUAUCUACAAAGGAAAGCUCCACAAUGCAGAAUUUCCUGAUAGAUAAGCACAAGUUCAAACAGUUAGAUAUGUUAUUGGAUAUUCAGCAGAAUUUGCAGAUUGCUACAACAUUAAGAUUGGAGGACAAAAUCCAGAAACUUCAGAAAUAGCUUAGUGACUUCAAAUUGUUAAACAAAACUAUGAAAACUCAACUGUCAAGAGUCAAUAUCCUUCAGGCUGCCAUCCAUCCCGCCACUCCCAGCCCAGAGGAAGGGGCUUCCUGGCCACCAUCCGUCCCACCACUCGAAGCCCAGAGGAAAAGGCUUUUGGGCCGCCAUCUGUCCCACCGCUCCUGGCCCAGAGGAAGGGGCUUCCGGGCCUCCAUCCAUCCCGCUGCUCCUGGCCCAGAGGUAGGGGCUUCUGAGCCACUGUCCCACUGCUCCCAGCCCAGAGGAAGGGGCUUCCCAGCCACCAUCCCUACCGCCACUCCCGCCCCCUGUCCCACCUCUCCCAGCUAAGAGGAGGGAGCCGUGCAGGCGACAACAGCACCCCCCUGCCCCCCCCAGUCAAAAUGAGAAAACAUGUAAAUAAGUCUCAAAACCAGACUUCCAGAUCACCUACAACAACCCUAAAGGGAAAUGAGAUGGAACACUCUGAUACUCAACCACCUGGACCCACUGAACUGGCAACAAAAGGGGAUCUGGAAAAAAUGAAAUCAGAAAUAAUUUCUCAGAUAACAGGAGAAGUUGUGCUCCUAGUGCAAGACAUGAUUAAUAAAUCUAGAGAGGAGCUGAGGAACAUGAUGGAAUCCCAACAUAGGAAACAAAUGAAAUCCAUAAAACAGAUGCAAAUAGAUUUUCAGGACAUGAAAAACUCCAUUGAAAGUCUACACAGCAGAAUGAGCCAAUGUGAGGACAGAAUUUCACAUAUAGAAGAUAAAAUUGCAAUUAAUGACCAGGAAAAGAAAAAUUGUUUCAAAAUUAUAAGGGAACACAAGAAAUCAAUCCAGCAGCUGCUAGACAAUGCAAAGAAGAAUAACAUAAGACUGAUUGGAGUCAAUGAAGAAAUAGGAGAGAGUGCAGACGACAUAAAAAAACUUUUCACUGGGCCGGGAUUUAGCUCAGUGGUUCCACCACCUGCCUC
ensembl:lncRNA